rnacentral:snRNA from 1 species
GCGACACAUAACAAGAUGCAGU